rnacentral:rRNA from 1 species
UUCCCUUCGGGGACAUUGGUGACAGGUGGUGCAUGGUUGUCGUCAGCUCGUGUCGUGAGAUGUUGGGUUAAGUCCCGCAACGAGCGCAACCCUUGUCUUUAGUUGCCAUCAUUAAGUUGGGCACUCUAGAGAGACUGCCAGGGAUAACCUGGAGGAAGGUGGGGAUGACGUCAAAUCAUCAUGCCCCUUAUGCUUAGGGCUACACACGUGCUACAAUGGGUAGUACAGAGGGUUGCCAAGCCGUAAGGUGGAGCUAAUCCCUUAAAGCUACUCUCAGUUCGGAUUGUAGGCUGAAACUCGCCUACAUGAAGCUGGAGUUACUAGUAAUCGCAGAUCAGAAUGCUGCGGUGAAUGCGUUCCCGGGUCUUGUACACACCGCCCGUCACCCCACGGGAGUUGGAGACGCCCGAAGCCGAUUAUCUAACCUUUUGGAAGAAGUCGUCGAAGGUGGAAUCAAUAACUGGGGUGAAGUCGUAACAAGGUAGCCGUAUCGGAAGGUGCGGCUGGAUCACCUCCUUUCUAAGGA